UACGUAGGGCGCAAGCGUUAUCCGGAAUUAUUGGGCGUAAAGAGCUCGUAGGCGGUUUGUCGCGUCUGCCCGUGAAAAGUCCGGGGCUCAACUCCGGAUCUGCGGUGGGUACGGGCAGACUAGAGUGAUGUAGGGGGAGACUGGAAUUCCUGGUGUAGCGGUGAAAUGCGCAGAGAUCAGGAGGAACACCGAUGGCGAAAGCAGGUACCUGGACCAAUUACUGACACUCAGCUGCGAAAGCUAGGGGAGCAAACAGG
rnacentral:rRNA from 1 species